rnacentral:rRNA from 1 species
AUUGAACGCUGGCGGAAUGCUUUACACAUGCAAGUCGAACGGCAGCACGGGUGCUUGCACCUGGUGGCGAGUGGCGAACGGGUGAGUAAUAUAUCGGAACGUAUCCAAUAAUGGGGGAUAACUAAUCGAAAGGUUGGCUAAUACCGCAUACGCCCUACGGGGGAAAGCUAGGGACCUUCGGGCCUGGCGUUAAUGGAGCGGCCGAUAUCUGAUUAGCUAGUUGGUGGGGUAAUGGCCUACCAAGGCGACGAUCAGUAGCUGGUCUGAGAGGACGACCAGCCACACUGGAACUGAGACACGGUCCAGACUCCUACGGGAGGCAGCAGUGGGGAAUUUUGGACAAUGGGCGCAAGCCUGAUCCAGCCAUUCCGCGUGAGUGAAGAAGGCCUUCGGGUUGUAAAGCUCUUUCGCAAGGGAAGAAAACUUAUCCUCUAACAUAGGAUGAGGUUGACGGUACCUUGAUAAGAAGCACCGGCUAACUACGUGCCAGCCGCCGCAGUAAGAC